rnacentral:tRNA from 3 species
GCGGGUGUAGCUCAGUUGGUAGAGCGCCACCUUGCCAAGGUGACUGUCGAGAGUUCGAGUCUCUUCACCCGCUCCA